CGGCGGACGGGUGAGUAACGCGUAGGAAUCUGCCCAAUAGUGGGGGAUAGCCCGGGGAAACUCGGAUUAAUACCGCAUACGCCCUACGGGGAAAGCAGGGGAUCUUCGGACCUUGUGCUAUUGGAUGAGCCUGCGUUGGAUUAGCUAGUUGGUAGGGUAAGGGCCUACCAAGGCGACGAUCCAUAGCUGGUCUGAGAGGAUGAUCAGCCACACUGGAACUGAGACACGGUCCAG
rnacentral:rRNA from 1 species